rnacentral:rRNA from 1 species
GACGAACGCUGGCGGCGUGCUUAACACAUGCAAGUCGAACGGACAGGCCCUGCUUUUGUUGGGUUCUCGAUUGGCGAACGGGUGAGUAACACGUGAGGAACCUGCCCUUGACUUUGGGAUAUCUUCAGGAAACUGGGGCUAUUACCCGAUAUGAUCUCCUGCUGCAUGGUGUGGGUUGGAAAGUUUCGGCGUUUCGGGAUGUACUCGCUGCUUAUCAGCUUGUUUGUGGGGUAGUUGCUUACCAAGGGUUUGACGGGUAGCCGGCCUGAGCGGGUGACCGGCCACAUUGGGACUGAGAUACGGACCAGACUCGUACGGGAGGCAGCAGUGGGGAAUAUUACAGAAUGGGCGGAAGCCUGAUGCAGCAACGCUGCGAGCGGGAUGACGGCCUUCGAGUUGUAAACAGAUUUCGAAUGUGACGAAGAGUGAGUGACGGUAAUGGGUAAAGAAGCCACGGCUAACUACGUG